UACGUAGGGGGCUAGCGUUGUCCGGAAUCAUUGGGCGUAAAGCGCGUGUAGGCGGUCCGGUAAGUCCGCUGUGAAAGUCGAGGGCUCAACCCUCGAAUGCCGGUGGAUACUGUCGGGCUAGAGUGCGGAAGAGGCGAGUGGAAUUCCUGGUGUAGCGGUGAAAUGCGCAGAUAUCAGGAGGAACACCGGCGGUGUAGACGGCUUUCUGGACCGUAGCUGACGCUGAGACACGAAAGCGUGGGUAGCAAACAGG
rnacentral:rRNA from 1 species